rnacentral:rRNA from 1 species
CUCAGGGAGGUAGUGACAAGAAAUAACAACACUGGAAAUUUUAUUUCUAGUGACUGGAAUGAUGGGAAUUUAAACCCCUUUCAGAGUAACAAUUGGAGGGCAAGUCUGGUGCCAGCAGCCGCGGUAAUUCCAGCUCCAAUAGCGUAUAUUAAAGUUGUUGCAGUUAAAAAGCUCGUAGUUGGAUGUCUGCUGGAAGCAAUCAGUCCGCCCUAUUUGUAGGGUGUGCACUUGAUGAAUUCUGGCAUUUUUGUCCCAAUGAUGUAACGGGGCGGUGGUACUCGGUGAAAGCCGAGUAUCCUGUUUUCCGAUUAUUGGGAUACUGUUACUUUGAGAAAAUUAGAGUGUUUGAAGCAGGCUAAUUGCCUUGAAUACUGCAGCAUGGAAUAACAAUAUAGGAUUUCGGUUCUAUUUUGUUGGUUUCUAGGACUGAAAUAAUGAUUAAUAGGGACAGUUGGGGGCACUCGUAUUUAACUGUCAGAGGUGAAAUUCUUAGAUUUGUUAAAGACGAACUACUGCGAAAGCAUUUGCCAAAGAUGUUUUCAUUAAUCAAGAACGAAAGUUAGGGGCUCGUAGACGAUCAGAUACCGUCGUAGUCUUAACCAUAAACUAUGCCGACUAGAGAUAGGAAAAUGUCAUUUUGCUGACUU